rnacentral:rRNA from 1 species
GACGAACGCUGGCGGCGUGCUUAACACAUGCAAGUCGAACGGUAAGGCCCUUCGGGGUACACGAGUGGCGAACGGGUGAGUAACACGUGGGUGAUCUGCCCUGCACUUCGGGAUAAGCCUGGGAAACUGGGUCUAAUACCGGAUAGGACCCUGGGAUGCAUGUCCUGGGGUGGAAAGCUGUUGCGGUGUGGGAUGGGCCCGCGGCCUAUCAGCUUGUUGGUGGGGGGAUGGCCUACCAAGGCGACGACGGGUCGCCGGCCUGAGAGGGUGACCAGUCACACUGGGACAGAGAUACGGCCCAGACUCCUGAGGGGGGCAGCAGUGGGGAAUAUUGCACAAUGGGCGCAAGCCUGAUGCAGCGACGCCGCGUGGGGGAUGACGGCCUUCGGGUUGUAAACCUCUUUCAGCACCGACGAAGCGCAAGUGACGGUAGGUGCAGAAGAAGGACCGGCCAACUACGUGCCAGCCGCCGCGGUAA